GAGGUUGUGGCUUAGGGGUAGAGUGCUUGCCUAGCAUGCAAGAGGCACUGGGUUUGAUCCUCAGCACCACA
rnacentral:tRNA from 1 species